UGGUGGCCACGCUCAGGGCAGACAGCUCCGGCUUUCAAGAAAGCCAGCCUUACCGGAGAUGUGGCCUCACAGAUCAGGGGGCUCUGACCUCAUUUCCCAGCAAGGAGCCUGAGUUCUAAGGGAGCAAGUAUCCUCUCUACCAUCACUCAUACAGUCUCCCUGCCGCCCUCCCUGCUGGGCCGGGCCUCCCUGCAAGCCUCGUGGCCCCCGCUCGGUGCGGGCCUGCUGCUGCUGCUGCUGCACAGCCCGCCCAGCCUUGGACUGCGCCGGCCUCCAGAAGUGAUAGCUAAUUGGGGAGAGAAAGAGCCCGAUUGUCUGCGGCAGCCGGAAAGGCCAGGAGGAGGCGGCCGCUUCGCCCUGCAGCUGCCACCGCCGGAGAUGUUUGGGGAUUACGUCAGCCUGGCGGGCAGGGGCCGCGGGGACAGCGCGGGAGGCGGGCUCCCGCAGGCCUCCCGCCGCCAGGGCCUCUGGACAAUGCUGCCAUUGUCGGUGCACGGAGUGCUUAGCUCCCCAUGAAUGGUGCACGGCCCCUUGACCAAGGAGGCCGCCUGUAGCCCCAACUGUCCCCUCACAGGCAGGGAGGCCCCGUGCGGUGGGAAGGACUGUUUGUGGACUCCACGGGUCUGUCCCUCAGAAGGGGCCACCGGCAGGAAAAGCAGA